rnacentral:rRNA from 1 species
CAGGAACGAGAGAGGCGGUCUAUCAUGCAGUCGAACGCUUCUUUUUCCACCGGAGCUUGCUCCACCGGAAAAAGAAGAGUGGCGAACGGGUGAGUAACACGUGGGUAACCUGCCCAUCAGAAGGGGAUAACACUUGGAAACAGGUGCUAAUACCGUAUAACAAUCAAAACCGCAUGGUUUUGAUUUGAAAGGCGCUUUCGGGUGUCGCUGAUGGAUGGACCCGCGGUGCAUUAGCUAGUUGGUGAGGUAACGGCUCACCAAGGCCACGAUGCAUAGCCGACCUGAGAGGGUGAUCGGCCACAUUGGGACUGAGACACGGCCCAAACUCCUACGGGAGGCAGCAGUAGGGAAUCUUCGGCAAUGGACGAAAGUCUGACCGAGCAACGCCGCGUGAGUGAAGAAGGUUUUCGGAUCGUAAAACUCUGUUGUUAGAGAAGAACAAGGAUGAGAGUAACUGUUCAUCCCUUGACGGUAUCUAACCAGAAAGCCACGGCUAACUACGUGCCAGCAGCCGCGGUAAUACGUAGGUGGCAAGCGUUGUCCGGAUUUAUUGGGCGUAAAGCGAGCGCAGGCGGUUUCUUAAGUCUGAUGUGAAAGCCCCCGGCUCAACCGGGGAGGGUCAUUGGAAACUGGGAGACUUGAGUGCAGAAGAGGAGAGUGGAAUUCCAUGUGUAGCGGUGAAAAUGCGUAGAUAUAUGGAGGAACACCAGUGGCGAAGGCGGCUCUCUGGUCUGUAACUGACGCUGAGGCUCGAAAGCGUGGGGAGCAAACAGGAUUAGAUACCCCUGGGUAGUCCACGCCGUAAACGAUGAGUGCUAAGUGUUGGAGGGUUUCCGCCCUUCAGUGCUGCAGCUAACGCAUUAAGCACUCCGCCUGGGGAGUACGACCGCAGUGUAGAGAAUUGGGUGGGGC